AGCGAACGCUGGCGGCAGGCUUAACACAUGCAAGUCGAGCGGGCACUUUCGGGUGUCAGCGGCGGACGGGUGAGUAACGCGUGGGAACGUGCCCUCUGGUUCGGAAUAACUCAGGGAAACUUGAGCUAAUACCGGAUACGCCCUUUUGGGGAAAGGCUUGCUGCCGGAGGAUCGGCCCGCGUCUGAUUAGCUAGUUGGUGAGGUAACGGCUCACCAAGGCGACGAUCAGUAGCUGGUCUGAGAGGAUGAUCAGCCACACUGGGACUGAGACACGGCCCAGAAUGCGACGCGAGGGAGGAGAAGGGAAUAUAGGGGGAGGAGGGCAAGCGUGAUAAAGCCAUGUCGGGGAAGAGAUGAAGGCCUUAGGAUUGUAAAGCUCUUUUAGACGGGACGAGAGUGACGGUACCGGGUGAAUAAGCCCCGGCUAACUUCGUG
rnacentral:rRNA from 1 species